GUAAGUGUUCAAAUGGGUCUCUUUUCUCAUCUAUAAAACAAACAGGUUGGACUAUGUGUUGUCCAUGGUCCCAUCCACUUCCAGACUUGGGUGACUGCACGGAGCUAUCUUUAUCAGGAUAUUGUUACAGUCCCUGAGGCUUCAUCUUCUUCCCCCUCUUUCCUGUUUCCCAGCUGGCAGUGGUAAGGCCGCUGGAGAAUAAUGGCUCUAGACUUGUCACUAGAUGAAUCCUCUUCUCUACCCGCCCAAAGGGCUUUCCCUUCUCCGUAGGAUUUAGCUUGACUCUCACUGGCCCAUUUUGGGUUCCCAGGAUUAUAUUCUCUGCCCUCCUCUCCCUUUAGAUUCUCCCCAUGGGCCUUUGAUUCGCUCUGAUGGCUUCUUAUUUCACCUACGGUUUCUGAGAAGUCAAGUUGGAAGCGGUCGCUCAGCUUGUACAUAAGCGGCAGACUUGGCAGCCGUAUGAUCCCAUUGCCUUUGUUAUUUCUGCUAUAACAUGACUCCUGCUUCUGAAACUUCGCUUGAUCUAAAUUUCCCACCCUUGCUUGAGACGUGGCCAAAGCCCUGCCUUUUCUAUCAUCACCUCAGCCUGGCCAAGUGCUCUUCGCUCUCAAUCUACCCAGCAAGUGCUGUCUGCACUACACAUCAGGCACCGCCUUGGGACUUAUGCCUUGGGGUUUAGUGAUCAUACUACUAUGAAUCCUGGCUCUAUUACUUAUUAGCUGUGCAACCUUGGGAAAAUUACUUAACCUUUCUGGGCCUCAGUUUCCUCAACUACAAACUAGAGAUGCUAGUACCUCACAAGGUUUUUGUGAGGAUAAAUAGGUAAAGGCAAAUAGCAUAGUGCCUGACACAUGAAGGAGCGCUCGAUAAAUUGACUCGUCACAAGAUGUAGGGGUGAGCCUUGGCUAGCCCAAGCUGAUCAACAUAAUCCCAUCCAUCUUGCUAGAGAGACUGGGUUAGAGAUGGGUACAUGAACUUGACUAGCCCAGAGUGACUUUUGGGACCACAGUUGGAUGAUGUGGCCUCAGAUGUGAGACCUGGCAUUGCUAGAACCGUUUCUUUUACUAGCAGGAAGCCAGCCUGAGAGCAAAGCUGACACUUGUAGUAAGGCAGAGCUGAGAAAUCAAUGAGAAUUAGAACUAGAGGCCUGAUCAAGUAUCUCCUGAAGUGCCUCCGACCUCUAGAAUUUUCCAUUGCUUGAGCCAAUUUAAAAAUUUAGUAUUUAAACUCACGUGCUAGGUUUUAUUUUUAAUCAUUUGCAACUGGAAAUAUCCUGACUGACACUCUAUAUUAUUAUUAUUACCUUCCCAUGUAUGCGCAACCCUCUGUCAUUAGACUGGAAUGUCCUUUGGAACAUAGCUAACUCACUAAGCUCUAUGCUGCCAUGCCACCUAGUACAGUUUUGUCACAUAGCAGGUUUUCAUUCACCUACACUUCAUGCCACCAUACUCAUUUCCCCCUGGGAUUAUGGCCUUUGAGCGUCUUUAAGGCGGAAAGAGAAGGUGGCUAGAGUCCCAGGGAGAGGGGUCCCCUCUUGCUUCUUCAGCUUCUUACUGAGGCAUAAUGACGGGAAAGUAAAAUACUUCCUGGAUUAGCUAAGCUUUACUGAGCACUAGGCAUUGUACACACAGAACCAUCCUUUUCCUCUUGGUUACCUAUGGCUACUGCUAUUGUGCCCUGUGUUACAGAUAAGAAACUGAUGCUUAGAGAGGUUACUCAACUUGUGUAGGUCACACAGCUUCUACAUAUCAUAACUUAGAAUCCUGAACUCAAAUUACCGUAUCCCUGUCUUUAAGUUCUCAUUCCACUUAAAGAAAAUGAAGCUAGGAGUCUUAGCCAGUGCAUUACGGGUGUGGCUUAUACAUGAAAGAUGAUAUAGAAGUCUAAUCAUCAGACCCAUGCUGAAAAAUAGGCUUUGGACUGGCAUCAAGAGAUUGUGAGCCUGUUGUUUGGCUGGACUCUUCGUUAACCGUUUGAUUGGACGAACAGCAACAGAGAUGAAAGGGAAGGAUGCUCUGGACAAAGGAGACAAAGGCCAGGAACAGAAGUGGGAAAGUGCACAGUGUGCUCAGAGGGCCAAGAACUGGCUGGUGGAGCUGUAGCAUAUGGAGCCCCAGUCACCUUGGGGUAGCGUGGGAAUGAAGAGAUAUCAGGGGCGUGGUCUAAAAAGCACCCGGGAGGGAUU
ensembl:lncRNA